rnacentral:rRNA from 1 species
UACGUAGGGUGCAAGCGUUAAUCGGAAUUACUGGGCGUAAAGCGUGCGCAGGCGGUUUUGUAAGUCUGUCGUGAAAUCCCCGGGCUCAACCUGGGAAUUGCGAUGGAGACUGCAAGGCUAGAAUCUGGCAGAGGGGGGUAGAAUUCCACGUGUAGCAGUGAAAUGCGUAGAGAUGUGGAGGAACACCGAUGGCGAAGGCAGCCCCCGGGGUCAAGAUUGACGCUCAUGCACGAAAGCGUGGGGAGCAAACAGG